UAAUCACAUUGCCUUGUUAGUAUAUAAUAAUCACCCAGUGCACAGACCCUAGACCUUUGGAAUCACUCAAAGUUUUCAUUAGAGAAUCAGCAGUCUUUUAGACUCACUAUGGUGUACCUCAAUGUUGAAAUUGCAUAUUACAGGUUAUGCUCCUGUAAAUAAAGGACAUUUUGUUAUGCCCACACUCAGCUGCGUUUCCUACUGUGAUUUCUUUACCAGACCCUGCUGUGACCUAUUGGCAAAUACAAUGCAUUAUUGGUGAGCCUUUUUUGUCUGAACUUGAUGUCUGUCCAGAAGACAAAAACACUGAUUAGGUAGAAGGAGGAUGAAAGUCCUUCAGGAACAGAGUGACUCUGGACCUCAGCUACAAACUGCAGCUUAUUCAUAAAUGUCAAGAAACAAAAGGCUAUAUGCAUUGUCUAAGGAGCCUAAACAAACACCCUGGAGAACAGAGGUUAGCUCUGAGGGCUGUCUACCCUCCUGCUCUAAAUCUUCACAAUGGUGCCAUUCUUCACCUUUCCUUUCUCCUUUGAACAAUCACUGGCUUAAAUUGUACCUGCUCCAGCAAGACAGGUUUGCAGGUUUCAUAAGCCUUCAUGACAAGCUGAAGAUCCAUGAAUAUGCAUGUUUCCAGUCUUCCUCCUUGGAGUCUUCAACAGACUGUUGAAGUCUAGAACCCUGUCCUAAGAGAUAUUCUGAGGGUUGGUACACACCAGCCUGGAAGAGAGAAAGAUCCAUGGACCAUCUCAUUUCUGACUCACUCAGCCAGCUGGGUGUUGAGACUAUUUCCAUGGCUUCCAAUCCGUCAGUGCUUGAAAACAUUUACUACAGAAAGGAUCGCUGGCUGAGGGAAGACAUUUGUCUAAUUCGGCAACAGCACUUUACACUGCAUUUCCAGAUUAUGCCUCUUCUUGAAAAUGAUCUAUUACAGGAGCAGUUUAUAAAAUUAAACACUUGUCAUUAUGCAAUGUAAAAUUCAUGAAGCAACCAAAUGUCAGGGAUCUACAUAUUUAAAAGAUGGGAGUUUUAGCAUUUCUUCCCUGGCAGGGAUUCUGAGCAGAAAAAGGCCCAGAGAAAAACAUAGCUAAUCACAAAGCUGUUUUGGAA